GGACAUCAGGAGGUUAGUGCAAUGGCAUAAGCCAGCUUGACUGCGAGCGUGACGGCGCGAGCAGGUGCGAAAGCAGGUCAUAGUGAUCCGGUGGUUCUGAAUGGAAGGGCCAUCGCUCAACGGAUAAAAGGUACUCCGGGGAUAACAGGCUGAUACCGCCCAAGAGUUCAUAUCGACGGCGGUGUUUGGCACCUCGAUGUCGGCUCAUCACAUCCUGGGGCUGAAGUAGGUCCCAAGGGUAUGGCUGUUCGCCAUUUAAAGUGGUACGCGAGCUGGGUUUAGAACGUCGUGAGACAGUUCGGUCCCUAUCUGCCGUGGGCGCUGGAGAACUGAGGGGGGCUGCUCCUAGUACGAGAGGACCGGAGUGGACGCAUCACUGGUGUUCGGGUUGUCAUGCCAAUGGCACUGCCCGGUAGCUAAAUGCGGAAGAGAUAAGUGCUGAAAGCAUCUAAGCACGAAACUUGCCCCGAGAUGAGUUCUCCCUGACUCCUUGAGAGUCCUGAAGGAACGUUGAAGACGACGACGUUGAUAGGCCGGGUGUGUAAGCGCAGCGAUGCGUUGAGCUAACCGGUACUAAUGAACCGUGAGGCUUAACCUU
rnacentral:rRNA from 1 species